ACUUAACCCAUCAAAACGACAUCUUCUUAAAGCCCUAACAAUUACUCCAUCUUCUUCCCCAUUCGCUCUCUCAAGCCCAAUCUCUCUACUGCCUCGUCAAUCACCACCGUCACUGCCUCCACCACCGUCAUAUAAUCUCAACCCGCUAUGGCGCCAUAAUCAUGUCCUCGUCGCUACACCGCCACUAUAAUCACUUCUCUUCCAAAAUCUGCACGAUACCUAAGAACGGCAACGAAAUAGAAAGAGGGGAAAAAAAGAGAAUACACAUCAGCGGUAUUCCGUUGUCGGCGACCAGCUUCACUUCUUCUCCAACCUCAAUCCAACCCAAUCCAUUUCCCAUCAUUGUAGACAUCAGAGAAAAGAAAACCCAUAUUUAUUUUCAGUUUAUUGGCCAAAUCAAUCAGAACAAAGCAAAGAGUACGCGAACUCCAAAAAUGGGUUCCAAGUUACUUUCUCUAAGAAGGCUCUCAACGCUUCUAAAACCUCACUUUCAAUCUCCUCCUACUUCUUAUUAUUCUUCAAAAUUUCACCACUCUAGUUCUGUGCUUCUACUAGCUUCCAGAGUUCUCCGUCAACAUUCCAACACUCUCAGUCCUCCUGGCUCUUCUGGUUGUUGUUCUAGAAGCUUCUGCUCUCGCCAGUUGGAUCUGGAUGUGGACUCUCAAGGCCCUGCUACUAUCGAUUAUCGUUCUCUUCUGCAGGAAGAUGAAUUUCACAGACUAGCUGAUUCCACAAUCCAUGACCUUCAGGAGAAAUUGGAGGAAUAUGGCGAUAGUUUUCAAAUUGAUGGGCUUGACAUUGAUUAUGGGAAUGAGGUUUUGACUCUUAAGCUCGGGGAUUUAGGCACCUAUGUGUUGAACAAGCAAACACCCAAUAGACAACUUUGGUUGUCUUCUCCAGUGAGUGGUCCAUCCAGGUUUGAUUGGGAUCAGAAUUCUCAAGCUUGGGUUUAUAGGCGGACAAAAGCAAAUUUAUUGACAAUUUUGGAAAGUGAAUUGGAGCAACUAUGUGGUGAACCCAUCAAACUUGCUUAGUUGUGGCAAUUUCUCUAAUGUACUGCAGAUAUAUAUAUAUUUUUUUUCCAGCAAUCAUGGUACUAAUAUGCCAAGAAUCCAGAGCAGUUGACAUCAGAAAACUUCCCUUCAUUAGUUCGUUUUAAGCUGUUUGGGGUAAUGGCAACUUAGCUAAGCAGGGAGGAAACAAAUGGGGCAGUAGAAGUGGCAAUGCUUCACAUAGGGAGAACCUUGGCAUGUUUGGCUUACCACAAAGGCACAAGACAUGCUUCCAUAACCUCAAAGAUGGGAGAGUAUCCUUCGUAAAAGAAAGAUGGAAGAGUAUCCUUUGUAAAAGCUGCAGAUGGUUAAUUCUUCACAUUAGAGAUUCAGGCCAUAAAUUUGCAAAAUUGGUAUAAAAUGUUUAAAUAUAAAGAUUUAUACAGCUUUGGUUAAUUUGGAAUUAUUAUUAUUAUUAA